CUGGCCGAACCUUUAUCGGGUGGCUGUUGGGUGAGGAGAGCUUCGCCUCGUCUCUGCCCUGACUAACGCGGUUGGCUGCUCUGCCCUAUUGCGCCUGGUGCUUCCGCCGGGAGGAGCGACCGAAGAACAAGCAGCAGCAGCAGCAGUGGGGUGGGUGUGCCUAUGCUAUGAUCGACGGCUGUACUAGUAUUAUUAUGGCUUCCAACAUGAGCAGUGGUUUGGCACCAUUCGCAUGAUACUGGAUAUUGAAUCUCGCGGGCGGCUGGUGAGCGAGUAGAAAAGUGGUGCGGCCAACAGGAUUUUCAGUUCAUCGUCGUCGUUGUCGUCGUCAUCAGGUACAUCGAAAACGACGACAAGUGACGGCGCUGACGAUAUUGAAGAAGACGAGAACGACAAAGGAAGCGGCGUUCAUUGCGUUUGUGGCGGCUGAGGACGGCUUGUGGCAGCGACAGACAGAACGACAAGGUGCUAUUCGUUGUGUAUGUAAUUAUUGUAGUUGUGACUGCGUUUUCCUGUUAAACCGUAUUGAGGCGUAUUUGAUGUUUUCUGAACUCUACUCAAUUUACGCUGUGUCCCGCAACUGCUAUUAGCGCAACGGUUGCUGCUGCUGCUGCUGCUGCUGUCGUUACACCCAAAGCGGUAGUUGAUCAGAGAUCAGAGCAGAUGAACCCGACUCAGCCUCAAUACAAAGGCAGGACAAAGUACAAUCAGUGUGUACAACACUCAUGGUCACUCGAUCCGACGAGACUGCAAUCACAGCAGUAAUAGCAAAGGCCGUUUGUCUCAGAGCAGUGAACAGAAUACAGUGAUAAGAAUUCGAUUGUGCAGAUCGGCACGGACGGUUGGAUUGGCAAUAUAAAGGCAAGUGCUCACUGGGACAAAGCACCGACGCAUUGUCAAGUUAAAAAAUCUCGACCGACCGACCGACGUUCACUGACCGCCGUGUCACUCUCCGUCGAAGGCGUAGAUACAGCCGGGAACAUCGUAGCAUUGACCAAGGUGAUAACAGUGUGUCUGAGGAGCAAUACUGACUGGAAAAUGAAUAUGAACGUAGUGAGGUAGAAGCACGACCUAGUGAGCUUGUCCGAAAGCGGUCAACGUGAGUGGGACAGUGGAGUUUGAAGGAAGAGGAGAUACUCAGGCGGUGACGCCGUCUCCAGGUCUCGUUCCGCCUGGUUGUGUACCUUUUUCGUGAAAUCAUUAUUAAAGGGUGCAGGGUAAAUCGUUAUUAGUCAGUUACAGGCACGUGAGUAAAUUUUUGUCGUUUUUGCGGUCAAUAGACUCUGAUCGAAUUCGCCACUCGAUAAAACUCCUUUUUGUACUGAUUGCCCUUGGCUCGAAUAGUGAUAGCGUGGCUUCGGCAAUAAAACACCUCCCUCGACCUGUCUUUUUUAUCUAGUGUGUAAAAGACCACCUUCUCCGUAUAGCGUGCUUUAGGGCAGUCAUACGCAUUGCCACUACCGCAGUCAUUUCCGUUGCCCCGUUUUCGUUCACGAGAGUUCAGAAGUGGACUUAGUCCUUGGCCGCCCCUGAUCUUGGGACAUCGACGAGGGCGUCGUUUGUCGUGCACCACUAAACAUCCAGCGACAGCAGCAGCAGCAGCAGCAGUAGUAGUAGCCAAGGCAAACGAGCAAAUGUGCCCUGUGAGCGACUAUCUGUCGUACGGUGUGCAUCAGUGCGAUACCUCGAAGGAAACCAAGGCACCGCUCCACUAAGGAGAACGCAACAGCAUCGGCGGGGUAGCCCCACGGGUAGCUGAAGGGGCACCGCCACUUGGAUUGACGGACGGACAAACAAACAAAUAAGUAUCUUAUUCGUUUCUGUCACUUGAGGAUGUAUAUAGUGAAUCCGCGAAACGAGUAAAGGCUGAGCUCAAGAGCUCGUCGAUCUACACCGGAUAGCCUGAAGCUUGUUUUCUGCUAGGUUUGGAUAAAGAGUAAGCUGAACGGUGAAGCAUCCAAGCUACAGCGAUAGUGGCCUGCAUUGUUGUAGGGGAGAGAUCAAGACUCUCGUCCACGAUUGAAGAGUCCACAGUCAUAACGCGUCCGUCAAAAGCUACUUACUAAUAAGAGCAAGUAGCUUUGCCUGAUUAUCUUGGUUCGAACUGCCCCGUGCCGCCAUCAUGAAGCUGCCAUUCUUGGAAUUUAGUCAACAUCCCGAAAUAUCGGAACGGGUGCGGUACCAUAUUUCUCAAUUGGUCGAUUAUUUUCAUGCCGUGCCUCACGUCGACGUUGGCCUUCAACCCGUCAAUGCUACGUUUGAUCCGUCAAAUAACUACUAUCUUGAGAGUGUGGGCAUCUUGGUGGCGAUUCCCGGCCUUUGGCUGAUCCUCACCCUGUUCGGAUUUCUCGUCUUUUUUCUGUGUCGCUGUUGUGACUCGAACGCCAAGAAGAAAAAGCGGAUCACCCCCCUCAAAUGGAUCCUAUCAUUUUUCGCCCUUCUAGCCUGUGGAGCUCUUAGCCUUGGUCUAUUUGGCAAUGAUCAAGCCCAUCAAGCACUUUUGGUCGUCCAGCGGUCAACAGGGGAAAUGGAAACCGUCGUAAAAUCAGUUCGAAACCACACUUUAAUUAUUGAGCAGCUUCUCGACAACUCGAUCCGUGAGGACGUCGACCAGAUAUCAGUCCAUUUUUCGGCACCUCUUCCUAAUGCCACAGUUCGUUCAAUGGUGCGCGAGACACUCGGUCAUAUGCGCGCGAACAUCAGCCAGAGUUUAGCAAAAACCAAAGAUAUGAACAUUAAAAUGAAAGCACUCGAUCUGCGUAAUCUGUCGCAAUGGCUGCAAAUCGUCGAGUUCUUCCGUUGGCCAGGCACGAUUGGGCUACAGUGUGGCCUCAUCUUCAUCUGCCUCUUACUUCUAUGGGGGGUAAUCAGGCACUCGCGCUGCCUACUCAUCCUGUUCUCUGUGCUGGGCCUUUUGUCGGUCGUCAUCUGCUGGGUGCUUGUGUCACUCUACUUCGGGCUUACGGUGGCCGGAGCCGAUUUCUGUUUUAACCCCGAGCCGUUCUUCAAUCGAAUGGCUGGACACAACCCGGAUGAACGUUUGGCAAUCGAAUACUAUAUGACUUGCGAGGAGAUGACCAAUAAUCCAUUCAAGAUCGACAUUAUUGAAGCCAAACGAGCAGUACAUGACUUACAGAGUAAUACGCAGAUCCUGAAGAGGAUCGCUGAGCAGUACAUGCCGCAACAGGAGGUGCGUGCUCUGUUGCAUGCUUUGGAAAAACGCCUGGAGGACACGGAGCGUACUCUAAGCCGUAUGGCAACGUUGGUCGAAUGUACGACUAUUCAGAAUGAGUACCUUAACGCCAUGGAAGCCAUCUGUGUCAGCACCUUCGAAGGCACGGUAUUCAUGCUGGCGUCAGCCGCGGCUUCGGGCCUCCUAUUCACGAUCCUGAUCUGGAUCGCCUCUCACACGUGGAUUCAUAUCCGUUCUCGUCACCCCCGAGCGCGCCCCGACCCCACGGACGACGAAGGUCGACCAUUCCUCGCCGGUGCAGGAGGUGAAAAUACCCUCUCCCGCAUCGGAACAUCGAGUGGCACCCUGCGAAACACGUACGCUCCUUAUAUUGUUGCUACUGUUUGCCAUAAAUUGGGCUUGUCGCUAUCGGCUGCCUCAAACAACAAGUCUAUGGCAGGCGGCAACGGCGACGCUGUCGCUGCCGAUGGCUACGAAUAUUAUUCACGACACGCCCGCUGUCGUGACAAUAAUGAUCAUAAAUUAACCAAAAAGGGUGGCGCAUUGAAGGGGCUUGCGUCAAAGUCGAACGCACGGCUGGCGUACCUCUACGAUGCCAACAACUUCUUUCCGCCUACGCACGUCACGCAUGGGCCUUCUCCGCAGCACGCGGGCUCAUUUCCACACGUAACACGCGCCGGUUGCGACAGGGGAAACGGCAAUCUGCAUGAGCCUCUAUUGGGAGCCGACUCAGCCGAUAACAGGGGCUAUCGGUAUAAUUCGCCCCCUGCACAUCCUCCACCGCUGCCGUCAAUGAUACAGGUUACUGCGGCUAAAACAGCGGGUGGAGUGAUGGCUAUAAGUUCGGGACGAGAGCCGUCCUACGUCGGCCUCGAACUGGUCCCGACGAGAGAUCUGCUGGCAAGCUCAAGUAGUCGAACAAACGGCAGAGAGGAUCAGGCUUUUCUCCAUGCCAGGUACACGCCUCCACCCGCGUACGAUCACCUCGCUGCGUCGUCGCGUCCCUACCAGCAGAAGCUGCCUUCCGCCCCGACAAUGUAUUCCUAAACUGAAAGCGAAAAGGAAAAAUCGAAGAGAAACAUAAACAAAAAAAAAAUAGAGGCAAUCGACUAUUAACGACAGCGGCCUGGCGCAGUAUCUAGACAUCUGUAUUUUGUGGAUUAACGAGCUAACAAAGUCAUGGCUGAUAGAGCAUGGAUGGAAUAAUGCAUUGACCCAAAGUUUAAACGCAAGAGCAACAUAGCCGUCAAAUGCAUGACAAUAUGUGGAGUACUCCUUGUGCGAUUGAUAUGGCCAUAUAUAUAUAACACAAUUUUCUUGCGCUGCUUAUAGUUAGAAAAAAUUACGUCCGGUGUCGUUUCUGUUUCUCGACAUAAACUUUGCUUAAAUACGAGCAGCCUCAUUUGUCAUACGUAUGCUUAUCGCAACAUAGAAAAAGUUCAGUGUGCAUUUGUUUGACAGAAAAGGAAAGAGUAUUAGCCUUGUACAUUCUACAAAGAAAACGGUGAUUACGCGGACGUUGAUGAUCAGUGUAUAGUCAGGUCGUAAGCAGGCCGGUCGAUUUGAUCGCAAAGGUGUAGUCUAAACCGAACUUUUAUGUGAGCACAAAAGAUACGGAGUAUCUGGUAGCAUGACAUUGCUGUUCAUCUUGCAAUCGACCCAUCUGAUCACCCUCUCGUAUUCCAUCGCCUGAUCAAACCUCUGCAACCUGCGAACAUUUCCUUCCGACUAAGGACGGCAUCAUGUCAACACCUCGGAUGGCGACCUCACCUGCGCUACUAAAUUCUAAAAACAGAGCGAAAGGGAAUAGUAGUGUGCAUACUCUGAACGAAACAGUUAACGAUGAUUAUGUGCUUUUGAAGAACAUAGAAUUCGAGUGGUAAUAAUAGCAUACACAUAUAUCGUAACGGAGCUAAUCGCACAGUCCCGUGAUCUCAGGAACAACAGUGAAACAGAAUUCAUUUUCUGUCACCGUGAGGAUAUUCGCAGGCCUACGCAGAAUUAUGGUGAGCAAGUCAGAACCUCUGUGUUGUCCUGGGCGUCGCCCGGAGGAUAUUAAACAAAAACACAAUAACCAACCAUAAACGAUAUGGAAAGGCAGCACAAACAACGUCGUGAUGAACGGUGCAGGCCGAGCGCCCCUCUUCAAUAUAAUUUCCACGCCGCUAUCUAUCUGUAUGAUGAUAAUUGAAACCAUCCUAACGACACAACCUGCAUCGCUGUGUGUGUAUAUGGAAGGAAUAUCUGAUCUCAUCUUUUACCGGCCUGGAAGCGGAUGGAGGAUUCUCAUUAUACAAAUACCUACACGGCUCAGAAGGUAGCAAGCACACAGCAAUAGCAUAGAUUGAAGCAUGAGAAAAAAAUCACAGUUAUUAGUUAAUACCCGAUUCCGUGUAUAAAUGAACGCGAUAGCGCGACUAUUAAAUAAAUGCAAAUGGAAAUGUCGACAAUAGUCCUGACAUUGGAUCGUCUGACGCAUAUUAUGCGUGGGAGAAAUCUCCAUGUAAAACACUCUGACAAACAAAAACCGAAUGUUAUCAUUAUCAUGAUUGUCGCAAUUGUAGAGCGCGGAACAUUCAACGGAAGACUCUCGAAUGAGAUGAGCGCCGCAGAUCUGGCAUAGAAGGAAGCAAAAGAAAACGGUUACGAGAAUGAGUAAAUAAUAAAACGAAGAAAACCCGCAACGGCAUAUGUAGUAAUGCUCGUUACCGUAAUUCUAUGUCGAAGUACACAUGACCGAAGAUCUGUCUGCAAUGUAAAGGCAUAAUGCACGAGAAUGACAUUAUCUACUGCACUUUACAUCGGUCUUGCUGGUUUAUGAAACCCUAAGUGAAGACUGUCACGUUUUAAAACUCGCUCGUUAUUACCUAUCGGUGAAUGCUAGGGUUACAAUUAAGAUUUGGAUAAGUAUUCCGUCUGAACCUUUGUUAGAUCCAAGUUUCCAAGACCACUCAUAAUACAGCUUAACAAUGCGGCUUGCCCCAUUACGAAAUGACGCAAGAAAUAAUUCAAUUCUUGUUUAUUUGUGUUUUUCCUUUGAAAAAGAAGAUGGAAAUCAAGUAUGCCUUAUCGCAAGUGUUGCCUGAGCGAAGGACGUACUUCAGACGAUUAGACAACCUGUAGUAAAUUGGCAGAAGAAAAGUUUGACCAGAAUGCAGCGGAAAGAAGCUAGAGGUAAACGACUGAGCAACGAUCGUAACGGCGAAUUCGGAUGCACCUUGCUAGGGCGAUGAAAAGUGCCGAUAUCUCCCGCAGCUGCUUUCGCUGGGGGAAAUAGUCAAGAACUUGCUGCGAUGUGGAAAUGCUGCAUCGACCCGGUUGAUCGAUCUUUGAAAUAUGCUUAAUUAACGAGGGGAGGGGAGGGAAUGGGACGAGGCCCGGCUGAAUAGUAUGCAAAAGAAAGACGUAGAGAAUGCCAAGGGGAAUAUAUAACGCAACCGACUCAAUUAUUUCGAACAACCGACGGAUUAAUAAGUGAGAUCGGAUUGACUUUAUUCAGUUCUUCUAUACAGUACACGAAUCUACUUAGUAACUGCAACAUAAUAGAAUGAAACACAGGUUGAGCACUCUAUUUUAUUUGCCAGCAGAAGGCCAAUCAAAACGAGGUUGAGCCGCACACUCGGGUGUCAUCUGCUAGAAACAUGUAGUACUAGCAGCAGCAGCAGUCUACGGCUGAGUUUUUCUCAGACGUUUUUUAAAACUUCUAAGACCAACGUAUUCCUGUUUCGUAUCCCCUCCACGCACCGAUCGUCAGGUGCCAGUCACUGCAAUCACCGGAAAUACAGGAACGAACAACGCAGAAGUAAACCACUAAUGUAGAAAGAGAAAUAGGUGAGAUGACAGUAACCGUAGGCGUCAUAUCGAUAAUGAUGAAGACGAUCCCGUGCUUCUAUAUAUUGUACCGCGCAAUUCUUACAUAAAUAUAUUACUCAUUGAACUGUGUUAAUAUGAUUAAUUUCAGUUGACCGAUGAUUGAUUAGGGAUGCGGGAAAUUUCUAUUUUAUACAAUAGGGAUAAUAUUAAUAAAGAGCGAAUAUUAUUAUUUGUUAUUGCAAAAAUCAGACAGUAAAGUAAAAGCGAGAGAAAGGAUGGCAUGGAUCAACCGUAAACCAGUAUUAUAUUGCAGUAUAAUAAUGAUUAUCGAUUAUUAGUAUUAUUAUCGUUAUUGCCAUUAUAUGAAGAGCACAUGAACGAAAAUCAGAAUAGUAGAAGAAAUUAUUAAUUAAAUUAAAACCGAGAGAGAAAAAGAGAAAGGUUUAUAAUGGCUAUCGCUACCGCUGAUAAUAAUAGUAAUAACAGUACUGAUGAUGGAAACAGAGACCGAGGAUUCAGAUGAUGGCGAUGCUAACAAAUGCUGCUGAUGAUGAUGAGAAAACGAGAGACAGAAAGAGAAUAAAGGUAAUGACCGAAAAAAUCAAGAAUGACAAAAUAAUAACCGAAUUAAAUCAAGAAGCGAAAGAGGGACAUGAAUGCCUCGGGGUGGUGCGACACAUAUUGCGCACAACAAUGCUCAAUUCUCUGUAAAAUAGAAAGAAGGUGUUACGGUAAUAAACAAAAGCAAAAGGCGAAAGAUAAAAAACUAAGCAGAAAGUAAUUAUGACGACGGCGAUAACCGUAGUGGUAAUAACGAUGUGUACGGAAAAAUGGGGCCGAUAAAAAGUAGAAUAUCGAAGUGGGCCGGACAGGCAAAGCAGACCGAAGCGUGAGUAGCAGCGAGGAGGUCGCCCAGUAGAAACAUCUGCUGGAGUUGCAGAAACGGAAGACGAAACGAAAAAAUAGCAUGCAGAGGGCAGACGGGAUAAAUGAACAGAAGUCGUGACAGAUCCACGGGGCCAAAUUCAGAAGAACAAAAAUGGUAUCGAAUGCAACAGCGGCUCAUCAACAGCGACACAUUUCUUCGACGGCCAUAACCGAGCUUUCACGACGGCCAACGUAAUCACCACCUCCACAAAAACCCAACAAACAUUGUCCCAUUCGGUCAUUUUCUUCAUCGUUUACAUCUCGCAUACCCUCAUACUUUGAUUCUCGUUCUUCGACAUAUGCACUACGGACACCUCACAUUUUCAUACCAUUAGUAUCAUACACAUAUAUAUUGUAUUCGAGUUGUAUUUCAAUCGAGGACUGGUAUCAACAUUAACGAAUGAACAAACGUUACUCUACACACAUUUACAGAAAAUGCUCACGAACGUAACAGAUCAGAUGUGGUACGAUGCAUUGAACAAACGUUUCGUCGAAACAUAGACAAACGCGACGUAACCUAUGAUGGGAAUAAGACGUUAUACACUUCUUUUGCAUAAAAUGUACUUUAUAUGCCAACACUGUGUCUGUCUGAUUGAGACAGCGAACAAGGUGAAAAAUGGAAAAUGUGGUCUUCUUGAUUAUACAGAGCUAACUUUUGUAUUACUGGCGAGUCUAAACACUGGCGAUUUUUACUGAUAAUCGGCGUUAAACCAUCAGAUACUGUGUAGCCCAUAUAGUAUAACCUGCAUAGCCUAAUUCAGUGGCAUCAAUCAGAAAAAAAGGAACACGCUUCUAAGUCUAGAACCGAAAUGACAACACAGGCAAAUCGAAGUGAUAAGCAGUACGUUAACAAUAUCUAAACGGACCUGCUGACAACUAUGAUGAUCAUCGAGCUUGUUCAUUUAGUCAGAAGUUUAGCGACAAACCUAGUAAUGACCCAUGUAACCCACUUGUGAGUGGAGCGAUAGGCCUCACUGCAAUAUAUUCUUUUUCGUAGAUUGCAUAUGUAGAUUACAAUUACUAACAAAUGAGUGUUAUAAUAGACGUCUUCGCGUCGUGUUUAAAAAGCACACAUAGAUCACCCAUAGAGGUAGGUACGUAUAAGUAGCAAACGAGACAGAUCUACCAAAAUCACUGAAAACCAUAAAAGCAAAUGAGCGAUAACAUUUAGGCCUAAUAUGAACGAAAAACCAGGGGUGUCCCUGAUAACGACAUUGAACAAACUGGAUUCAGCUCGAGGAAAGCACGAGCGUGGAUAUCAUUGCAGAUUUUCAAAUAUCACAAAAUUAAUACUUUCCCAUGAAUAAAUAAUAGCAGAAAGUCA